rnacentral:rRNA from 1 species
UACAGAGGUCCCAAGCGUUGUUCGGAUUCAUUGGGCGUAAAGGGUGCGUAGGCGGCGCGGUAAGUCGGGUGUGAAAUCUCGGAGCUUAACUCCGAAACUGCAUUCGAUACUGCCGUGCUUGAGGACUGGAGAGGAGACUGGAAUUUACGGUGUAGCGGUGAAAUGCGUAGAUAUCGUAAGGAAGACCAAUGGCGAAGGCGGGUCUCUGGACAGUUCCUGACGCUGAGGCACGAAGGCCAGGGGAGCAAACGGG